UUUCUAGUGGUGUAAUUGGUGAGCACACAAGCCUUUGAAGUUUGGAAUUGAGGUUCGAUUCCUCACUAGAAAA